GCCAGGAUGGCGUAGUGGUUAGCGCAUCUGCCUAGUGAGUAGAAGACCUGGGUUCGAAUCCCGGCCUUGGCA
rnacentral:tRNA from 1 species